rnacentral:rRNA from 1 species
AGGAGGAGCCUGCGUCCGAUUAGCUAGUUGGUGGGGUAAUGGCCUACCAAGGCGACGAUCGGUAGCCGGCCUGAGAGGGCGACCGGCCACACUGGAACUGAGACACGGUCCAGACUCCUACGGGAGGCAGCAGUGGGGAAUCUUGCGCAAUGGGCGAAAGCCUGACGCAGCGACGCCGCGUGGGCGAUGAAGGCCUUCGGGUCGUAAAGCCCUGUCGGGUGGGACGAAUCUCCUGGUGGCGAAUAACCACCGGGCUUGACGGUACCACCGAAGGAAGCCCCGGCUAACUACGUGCCAGCAGCCGCGGUAAUACGUAGGGGGCGAGCGUUGUUCGGAUUUACUGGGCGUAAAGCGCGCGUAGGCGGCCUGAUAAGUCGGAUGUGAAACCCCUCGGCUUAACCGAGGAUCCGCACCCGAAACUGCCAGGCUUGAGUCUAGGAGAGGAGAGCGGAAUUCCCAGUGUAGCGGUGAAAUGCGUAGAUAUUGGGAGGAACACCAGUGGCGAAGGCGGCUCUCUGGACUAGUACUGACGCUGAGGCGCGAAAGCUAGGGGAGCGAACGGGAUUAGAUACCCCGGUAGUCCUAGCCGU